UACGAAGGGUGCAAGCGUUACUCGGAAUUACUGGGCGUAAAGGGUGCGUAGGUGGUUUGUUAAGUCUGCUGUGAAAUCCCCGGGCUCAACCUGGGAAUGGCAGUGGAUACUGGCAAGCUAGAGUGCGGUAGAGGGUAGUAGAAUUCCCGGUGUAGCAGUGAAAUGCGUAGAGAUCGGGAGGAACACCAGUGGCGAAGGCGGCUACCUGGACCAGCACUGACACUGAAGCACGAAAGCGUGGGGAGCAAACAGG
rnacentral:rRNA from 1 species